rnacentral:lncRNA from 1 species
GCUGAGUAUAAUACUCUGUUUAUUUUAGAGCUAAUCUUAGAUGAGAUGACAUAGGAGAAGAACAACAGUAAUAAUAAUUGUCUUGGCCACCCUCAAGUUGACCAUGUGAAUGCAAAAGAAUCUUUUCCUGGGGACAGUUAUUUACCCUUCGUCAUGUUGAUUUGUCAUGGAACCCAGAGAUGAUCUAGAUGAUCUCACAGAGAACUCAAAGGACUUUAUGUGUGGUAUUUUUUCAGAACAUAUAUCUGCAGUAAAAUAUACAAAAAGACACUCCAGAUACUUGAGCACUGUGCUGACGGAGAUCCACCUUGUGAAGUUUCCACUAGUGAAUAGUGGUUAUGCGAGGAGCAGAUGUAUUUGAACAUGCCGAGAUGGUGCUGAAAGUGAAGAAGGAAGUUCCUGCCCCUCCCAAAGCCGAAGCCAAAGUGAAGGCCUUGAAAGCUAAGAAGGAAUUGCUAAAAGGUGUCCACGGCCACAAAAAGAAGAAGAUCCAUAUGUCACACACUUUCUGGUGGCCCAAGACCCUGCAGCUCUGGAGGCAGCCAAAAUAUCCUAGAAAGAGUGUACCCAAGCUUAACCACUAUGCUCUCAUCAGAUUCCCAUUGACCACUGAGUCAGCUAUGAUGAAAAUAGAGAACAACAUGCUUGUGUUCAUUGUGGAUGUGAAGGCCAACAAGCAGCAGGUCAAACAGGGCAUGAAGAAACUCUAUGACAUUGAUGUAGCCA